GUUAAUGAGAGUUUGAUCCUGGCUCAGGACGAACGCUGGCGGCGUGCCUAAUACAUGCAAGUGGAACGCAUGAUUGAUACCGGAGCUUGCUCCACCAUUAAUCAUGAGUCGCGAACGGGUGAGUAACGCGUAGGUAACCUACCUCAUAGCGGGGGAUAACUAUUGGAAACGAUAGCUAAUACCGCAUAAGAGUGGAUAACACAUGUUAUUGAUUUAAAAGGAGCAAUUGCUUCACUAUGAGAUGGACCUGCGUUGUAUUAGCUAGUUGGUGAGGUAAAGGCUCACCAAGGCGACGAUACAUAGCCGACCUGAGAGGGUGAACGGCCACACUGGGACUGAGACACGGCCCAGACUCCUACGGGAGGCAGCAGUAGGGAAUCUUCGGCAAUGGGGGGAACCCUGACCGAGCAACGCCGCGUGAGUGAAGAAGGUUUUCGGAUCGUAAAGCUCUGUUAUAAGCGAAGAACGGGAGUAAGAGUGGAAAGUUUACUCUGUGACGGUAGCUUAUCAGAAAGGGACGGCUAACUACGUGCCAGCAGCCGCGGUAAUACGUAGGUCCCGAGCGUUGUCCGGAUUUAUUGGGCGUAAAGCGAGCGCAGGUGGUUUAAUAAGUCUGAAGUUAAAGGCAUUGGCUCAACCAAUGUACGCUUUGGAAACUGUUGAACUUGAGUGCAGAAGGGGAGAGUGGAAUUCCAUGUGUAGCGGUGAAAUGCGUAGAUAUAUGGAGGAACACCGGUGGCGAAAGCGGCUCUCUG
rnacentral:rRNA from 1 species